GCUAAACAUACAGCAAGAAUCAUGAAAUCUCCUCUUGUGUGUAAGAUGGAGAAUUGUGAGUUAAUGGUUUAGAGUUUAAACUUGGCCCCCUCUCAUUGCGAUGAGCUCAGUCACAAUUCUGGUGCUUUGUUGCCACAUAGACAAGACAAGGUAAAACUGAAUUCUAUACGAACAUCACACCCACACCCAUACAUGCAGAACAGAUAGGACCACAAAUACUUAAACAGUACCAUGUCAAGCCUCCAUACCGAUGUCUCAUCCAGUUCCAUUCCUUCAUUCAAAUCUUGGGCAAUACAGGUCAGGCCUAAUGCAGAGUCAAAAGUGGAACAUUCAUCCUGAUCUGUUUUUCUCAGAAAGUCAAGGUCCAGGUGGUCAAGGAAAAAAGAGACUCAAUCUCACAGAGCCAAACAGGGUGAAGAUGACACCAGAGACUCAAGAUAAAACUCAUGGCGAGGCACCAGACAGCAAGGCCAUAUGAACCCCUCCCUUACCUAAAACCCCUGGUAAAAGCCCCUACCUUUUUCACUCAAGGACGUGGAUUUGAGUUUUAACUCCCAUCUCCUCCUCUGGCUUCCUUUUGAUAAUAAACAUCUUUCCUUGUUUCGAGC
rnacentral:lncRNA from 1 species